UCAGCACAGUUAAUGGCACUGGAAGAAUUCACGGGAGUUUUUGUUUACACUUCCCCGUGAUCUCUUAGUGGCAUCCAUGGUGCGGG
rnacentral:pre_miRNA from 1 species